CUAUAUAAAGAGAGAGAGAGAGAGAGAGAGAGAGAGAGAAAUAGAGAGUUGUACUCGCUUGGAGAGAGAGUUUUAAUCUCUAGCGGAGAGUCGCUUGGCAUGCCAAGGAGCUCCUAAAAAUUUGCACGUAAAGAGAUAUGGAGACUGAUCAUAACUGAAUAUAGUAUUAGUGGGUCUAGUCCACAUCCAAAUGCUAAUUCAGAAUGAAGGAUUAUCGCAUCAUUUAUAUAUUGCUCUAAGUAUCAUCAUUCCACACGAGUUGUGGAAUGUGAUAUAUUCUAAUUAAUAAAAUUGCAACUUGAUUGUCAAUUUUUAUAAUAAAAUAAUAUAGAAUUUUUUUAUUUCAUUUAUUUAAUAUUUUUUUUACCAUUUAUAAUGAAUGAAACGGAAUGUUUAUUCCAUCAAUGAAAAAUUAAAAAAAUUCACGAAAAUCAUUAUAUUAUAAUUUAGAUCAUAAAUAAAUAGAAAGAAAUGUAUUCAAUUUUUUGUAUUUCAUUUCUUUUCAUUCUACUAAUUUCAUUUUAUAUUCACCAGUUACAACUUUUAAGAUGUAAGUAUGAAACGGUCUAAUGGAAAUCUCUCAAACCAAAUAUUUCAGAAAUACCAUAACAAUAUGAAUUUUAUACAUGUUUUUUUGUUUUGUUUUUUGCUAAAAUAAUUUUAUACAUGUUAUUAUCUAGUGAACCAACUCACAGACUCUCAUAUCAUAUUAUUAAUAGGUUUGACUCACACACCAAAAGUUAAAUCAAGAAUGAGUGAUUGUCACACAUCACUUAUAAAUUGCCCAACAAGAACCAUUAUACCACUCAAUGUAAGACUUUCUAAUAACAACCUUAAGAAAUCCAAGACGAACUUGUGGUCAAAUGCUGCUGGCGUGCGCAUGGCUAAAGUUUUCGCCAUCAAAGCAUAACUUGCAACUAAUCGCACUAAGAAGACAUUUGUGUAUAACACGCAAGACCGUUGGAAGUGUCCAACUUAAUUCUCCGAAAAACAAAGAAGAAAUUUUUGAAAACAUGAAGAAAGAGCAAAUACUACAAAAGAAGAAAGCAGUCUAUACAAAAAUUUAAGGGAUGUUGUUUGUCUACUCACAAUCUUCUCUUUUUCCUCAUGUUUAUUCAAAUCUUGUUUCUCAACACUAGAAGAGGAGAAACUCUUUCCUUUUUUUUUGAACAAAAUGAUUCACUCUUUCUCAACUUUCAAGAAGUUGGCCUUCGAAAUUCACGGAUUUUCAUAUGCAAAUCGUAGCAUUCGUAAGUAUCCAAAAGUCUGUGACCGAAGAUUUCAUGCAUUAUAGACCUAUCAUCACAAACUUUUUUUUUUAUUUUUUUAUAAGUACUUAUUUAUUCACGAUUUUUCUUUUCAGAGUACCUUUACAACACAAAAUAAAGGAAAAAAGAAGAAGAUGAAAGAAAGAUACAAGAAAUUGAAAGAGCAAAACAACCCAAGUGAAGCAGGCUAGAUGAAGAUGAACCUGGCUAAUGAAGCUGAAAUUUGGAGGAGCGUUUGUUUUGGGUUGAUGAUUUCACUAAUCUUGGAAGUUGGAUUUGGAGGAGUUUAAUGGAUCAUAGGGACACAGCAAGACAAUUUAUAACCUGCACCGUUAUGUCUGGCCGGAAUGCACUCUUCUGGUUGGAUGAUUAGACUGGGAUGGGUUCUCUUUUGCAUCUAACGGGACCCUCAGGAAUCUCCUUUUCUGCCUAUGUCUUUGAGGCGUUAAAUGAAGGACGGUGGAUUGCUUCUCGCAGCAGACAUCCGACUCUAGCUCUGCUACGGUCGUGCAUGCCUUCUCCGCUCCCUUCUCUGGAUUCUUCAGAGCCUGACUUCUAUUUUUGGAAGAACUCCCCUCAUGAUUCACCAGAUAGGUUUUCUGCCUCCAAGGUUUGGCAUUUCCUAAAUCCUAUUGAAAGCCCGGUGACUUGGUUUUCUCUGGUCUGGUUCAAACAAAAAAUCCCUAAGCAUGCAUUCAUUGCUUGGCUUGCGUUCAGAGAUCGUCUAAGCUCAUGGGGUAUUCAGGUUUCACCAGGUUGUAUGUUGUGUGGUGAUGAAAAUGAACCCACCGCUUUCCUUUGAAGAUGUGGAGGCUUGGCUGAGGUCCUCGGCACUUUGCAGAGAACUGAAGCCUCUUGUUCUCCUAAUAUUUCAAGCAGUGAUCUAUUUUCUAUGGAAGGAGCGAAAUUCCUGAUUUCAUAAUUCAUUAAGCAAGCCUUCUCAAGUUGUUAUAAAGGAAAUCCAGCUUCAAAUAAGAGCAAGACUUCUGGGUCUGGAACGGGAGAGACUGUCCACUUCUCAUUCAGUUACCACAGCAGCUUCAAGACACACAAGAACAAGAACAUAUCAUCACAAACUUCGUUCCCUUGGGCUGCAAACAACAAGCCCAAAAACCACAGAGACUAUUCUUUCCUCUUGUAACCAAACUCAAUUAGUACCUCUAGUCUAUUUGCCUCUCUUCGCUUCUAUCCACAGACUCCUUAGUCUCUCUCUGUCAGGGAUCAGAUUCAGGGUCCUUCAUGGCUAGGAACAAUCGAAUGGCUAAUAGGUUAAUUUAACGAAAUAAUUGAAGAUUACCGAGAUGCGAAUAGUUAUUGUAAUUUGUACUCUAUUAAUAAUUAAUUGUGCCUCGGCCACAUCUCUGUGUCCACCGACUAUUUUUACGUUAUAGUAUUCCAGUGACGUAUAUCCCUCUAACUGAUUCAAACCACAUUUACAGCUACACGUGUAAAAUAUUUCGAAAUAAAAAAGUGAAUAAAAAAGGAAUUAAAACAAUUAUCCUGCGCGCUGUACCAACUACAAAGUCGUAUUAAUCAGUGACUAAUUAAAUCUCCAAAAGGACAGUUUAGGGGGUGUUAGUGGGGAUGAGAUUUAUAAUGAGUCUUAAAAUUUCUAAGUCUAGUGUUAUUGGUUUAUAGAUUCUCAUCUUCUCAUUGAAAUCUAUUGUUAUUGGUUUGAUGAUUCUAUAACUCUAUACAAAAUCAUUUGUUAUUCAAAAAGUUUAGAUUUUAAUGAUUCUACAAAUCUAUUAAAGUAAGUGUUAUUGGGAGUUGAAUUCUUAUCCUUUUAACUCACAAAUUAAGAUUUUGAGAAUACUACAUGUUUACCUUGAAUUCUUAGAAUCAUUACAUUACUUUAUUUUCAUAGAUUUUCACAAUAUACAAAAUUCUCUACAUCUCUUUCCAAAUUUAACAAAUCUCUCAACUUUUAAAAUCAACAAACUCUAUAGAAAUCUAAGUCCCACUAACACCCCCUUAUAUUCUUUUUCUUUUUCAGCAGGCCACGAUAUAUAUAAAAAGGUACAAAACUUCUUCAAGGAUAGUCGACAAAGAAGAAUACAUUACCUAACAAAAAUGAUGAUGAAAGAUGUUCAAAACAUGAGAUCCGAGAAGAUUAGUGCCAAGGACGAACCUUUUCAGUCACCAGGAGAUUACGUUAGAUUCAUAAGCCCAGAGGUUUACAAAUCCAACAGACAGAAAUAUCUCAGAAGCUACACGUUCAAAAGCUACGAGGAGGAAGCAGACUUGUCUCCCAAGAAACAGAGGAAGUGGUUCAAGAACAAGAAGAUGAUCAAGUUUAAGAAGACAAGUGACUCAUUUGGCAACUCGCUCAAGUCUUGUCUCAUCCUCUUGUUCUCUUGCUUCCAUGUCUGAUUCUUCUAAUAUGUAUAAGAUUACCCACUCCUCUUUUUAUCUUUCUUUUGUCUAUCGUAAUUUCAAUCCAUCUUCACUUUGCUUUUGGAAUAAAUUCGAACUCCUUGUGUAAACUUUAACUAAAUUUUAUUCGAAUAUCACACUGUUGUCUCGUUUUCAUUGACAUUGAAUAUCGAUUUUUCUCUAUUUUUUUAAUUGCAUAGACUUUUGAAAAUGACAGACGUUCCUGUUCCUGUUCCUGUUAAAUAUAAUUGAUAGCGUGUAAUGAGAGAUUAUGAAAUGUUUUAGUCAAAUAUCAUGCAAGCCGCCGGCACAGUCGAAUUGGCUGAAGGAGUCUUUGAUAGAAUUCUUUAAUCUUGAACAGUGUGUUUUGAUCUUAGGGUUGACGCAUGUGUAAUGUAUAUACAUCAAUAUACAUUAUCAUUGAAUACGACAACAAGAAGAAUAUUCCAACGAUAAAAUGCCAAAUUUUAUUUCAAAUAAAAAUUAACAAAAAGAGAUACAAAGAGAAAUUUGCUGGUUAGUUGAUCCGUCUCCGUCGCGAUUAGUGACCACAUAAAUCGAAAUCGCUGGUUAGUUGAUCCGUCUCCGUCGCGAUUAGUGACCACAUAAAGCGUAAUCAAAGUGAUUCUUAAUAUAUAUAUAUAUAUUUUUUUUUGAAACUAAAGUGAUUCUUAAUAUUAGGUCACUGGGUCAUAUGGCUUUAGUUAUUUGUUUGUUUUUUCUGGAAAUAAAGCUACAUGAACAUGAAGAGACACGUCACAUUCAACGCUAUCUUGCUCCACCUUCGUUAUAUAAUGAUUUUUUUGGUAACCAUACAUAAGAUUCAGGCUUCGAAUGGUGACCAUCGUCCUGUCCCGCCCUUCAAUUAACAGUAACAAAAUCUCUACAUACACUAUAUAUCUAUACAUUUUUAUAACUGUUAAAACCGCACCGCAGUUUGAGCAGUUGAAUUGCUUGUCCCGCACCGCUCAAACUGCAGUCACCAUUCGAAGCUUCAAUCAUUUAAAAGAAGAAGAAAAAUGACAUUAUAUGAUUUUUGUAUGUCUCGGCGUGCAAAAAAUAUAACAAUAUAUUUUUAAUGCAUAGUUGAUUCAUGCAUUAAUAUAUGAUGAUGGUCAAAAAGGUUUGGAACUUUUGUUGUCUCCGUUUCUGUAGAGAAUAGCGAUUUUAUAGUGAUUCGUCCACUGAUUUAGGGAGUAUGUGAAGUUUUACUAAAUUAAUUGACUAAAAAAAUUGAACAAUGUCCAUGUACCAUGAAAGAGAGUUUAGUGUAAAUUAAUACAAAUUUAGAAGGCUCCAAACCUCUUUGAACAUCAUCAUAUGUUAGUGCAGAAUGCAACUAUGCAUUAAAACACUAUUGUCUCAAAAUCGAUGUGUUAACCCCUACGAAAACAUUGAGUUUUACAUUAAACGCUCUAUAAACUGAAGCUUAUACUUUUUAUUGUGGCGUUAAAUUUUCUAAUGACAUUUUAAAUUUGUAUUAAUGUAUGUUAAACUCUCUUUCAUGGUACAUAAGCAUCGUUCAAAUUUUUUAAUCAAUUAAUUUAGUACAAUUUCAUAUACUUCCUAAAUCAGUGAACUAACCACUACAAAAUCGCUAUUCUCUAGAGAAACGAAGACAACAAAGGUUCCAAACUUCUUUUACCAUCAUCAUAUAUUAGUGCAGCAGACAACUAUGCAUUAAAACAAUAUUGUUAUAUUUUUUGAAUUUUUCUCAAAUCUAUGUGUUUACCCUUAAGAAAAUAUUGAGUUUUAUAUUAAACGCUCUAUAAACUGAAGCUUAUACUUUUUAUUGUUGUGUUAAAUUUUCUAAUGACAUUUUAAAUAUGUAUUAAUGAAUGUUAAACUCUCUACCAUGAUAUAUGGGAUCAUUCUAAUUUUUUAUCAAUUAAUUUAGUAAAACUUCAUAAUACUCUCUAAAUCAGUAAAAUAAUCAUUAUAAAAUCGUUAUUAUCUUGGAAAACAAAGACAAAAAAGUUUCAAAUCUCUUUAAACAUCAUUAUAUAUUAGAAAAAAAUAUUGUCAUAUUUUUUGAAUUUUUGUCCAUAUCUAUGUAUCGCUAUGAAUAUAUUGAGUUUUACGUUAAACGCUCUAUAUAAUGAAGCUUAUACUUUUUAGUGUUGUUUUAAAAUUUCUAACCGCAUUCUACAUUUGUAUUAAUGUAUUUGAAACUCUCUUUCAUGGUACAUGGACAUCUUUCUAACUUUGUAUCAAUUAAUCAAGUAAAACUUCAUAUAAUCCCUAAAUUAGUGGACUAACCAUUAAAAAAUCGCUAUUUUUAAAAGAAACAUACACAACAAAGAUUUCAAGUCUCUUUGACCAUCAUAAUAUGUUAGUUUAGGAUGCAACUAUGCAUUAAAACGAUAUAGUUAUAUUUUGAUUUAUUUCAAAAUUUAUGUAUAAAUCCAUAGGAAAUAUUUAGUUUUACAUUAAACGCUUUAUACACUGAAAUCUAAACUUUUUAGUAUUGUUUUAAAAUUUAUAACUAUAUUCUACAUUUGUAUUAAUGCAUGUUUAGCUCUCUUUCAUAGUAUAUGGGAAUUGUUAUAAUUUUUUAAUCAAACAAUUUAGUAAAACUUCGAAAUACUCCCUAAAUUGGUGGAAUAACCACUGCAAAGUCACUAUUUUCUUCAAAAACGGAGACAACAAAUGCUUCAACCCUCUUUGUACAUCAUCAUAUGUUAGUGCAGAAUGCAACUAUGCAUUAAAACACUAUUGUCAUAUUUUUUUGAAAUUUUCUCAAAAUCUAUGUGUUAACCCCUACAAAAACAUUGAGUUUUACGUUAAACACUCUAUAAACUGAAGCUUAUACUUUUUAUUGUGGUGUUAAAUUUUCUAAUGACAUUUUAAAUUUGUAUUAAUGUAUGUUAAACUCUCCUUCAUGGUACAUGAGUAUCGUUCAAAAAUUUUAAUCAAUUAAUUUAGUACAACUUCAUAUACUCCCUAUAUCAGUGAACUAACCACUACAAAAUCGCUAUUCUCUAGAGAAACGGAGACAACAAAGGUUCCAAACCUCCUUUAUCAUCAUCAUAUAUUAGUGAAGCAGACAACUAUGCAUUAAAACAAUAUUGUUAUAUUUUUUAAAUUUUUCUCAAAAUCUAUGUAUUUACCCUUACGAAAAUAUUGAGUUUUAUGUUAAAUGCUCUAUAAACUGAAGCUUAUACUUUUUAUUGUUGUGUUAAAUUUUCUAAUGACAGUUUAAAUUUCUAUUAAUGAAUGUUAAACUCUCUUCCAUUAUAUAUGAGAUCAUUCUAAUUUUUUAUCAAUUAAUUUAGUAAAACUUCAUAAUACUCUCUAAAUCAGUAAAAAUAACCAUUAUAAAAUCGCUAUUAUCUUAGGAAACAAAGAUAAAAAAGGUUCCAAACCUCUUUAAACAUCAUCAUAUGUUAGCAUAGGAUGAACUAUCCUUAAAAAAAUAUUGUCGUAUUUUUUAAAUUUUUAUCCACAUCUAUGUAUCGGUAUGAAUAUAUUGAGUUUUACGUUAAACGCUUUAUAUAAUGAAGCUUACACUUUUUAGUGUUGUUUUAAAAUUUCUAACCAUAUUCUACAUUUGCAUUAAUGUAUUUGAAACUCUCUUUCAUGGUACAUGGACAUCUUUCUAAUUUUGUAUCAAUUAAUCUAGUAAAACUUCAUAUAUUCCCUAAAUUAAUGGAUUAACCAUUAAAAAUCGCUAUUUUUUAAAGAAACAUAGACAACAAAGAUUUCAAGCCUCUUUGACCAUCAUAAUAUGUUAGUUUAUGAUGAAACUAUGCAUUAAAUGAUAUUGUUAUAUUUUUUGUUUUUUUUUUCAAAAUUUAUGUAUAAACCCAUAGGAAAUAUUUAGUUUUACGUUAAACGUUCUAUAUACUGAAAUCUAAAUUUUUAAUGUUGUUUUAAAUUUUUUAACUACAUUUUACAUUUGUAUUAAUGCAUGUUUAGCUCUCUCUCAUGGUAUAUGAGAAUCGUUAUAAUUUUUUAAUCAAACAAUUUAGUAAAACUUCGAAAUACUCUUUAAAUUGGUGGAAUAACCACUAUAAAGUCACUAUUUUCUUCAAAAACGGAGACAACAAAGACUCCAAACCUCUUUGAACAUCAUCAUAUGUUAGUGCAGAAUGAAACUAUGCAAUAAAACAAUAUUUUCAUAUUUUUUGAAUUUUUUUCAAAAUCUAUGUGUUAACCCUUACGAAAACAUUGAGUUUUACGAUAAACGCUCUAAAAACUGAAGCUUAUACUUUUUAUUGUGGGGUUAAAUUUUCUAAUGACAUUUUAAAUUUGUAUUGAUGUAUGUUAAACUCUCUUUCAUAGUUCAUGAGCAUCGUUCAAAUUUUUAAUCAAUUAAUUUAGUAGAACUUCAUAUAUUCCAUAAAUCAGUGAACUAACCAUUUCAAAAUCACUAUUCUCUAGAGAAACGGACACAACAAAGGUUCCUAACCUCUUUGACCAUCAUCAUAUUUUAAUGUAGCAGACAACUAUGUAUUAAAAUAAUAUUGUUAUAUUUUUGAAUUUUUCUCAAAAUCUAUGUGUUUACCCUUACGAAAAUAUUGUGUUUUACAUUAAACGAUCUAUAAAUUGAAGCUUAUAUUUUUUUAUUGUUGUGUUAAAUUUUCAAAUGAUGUUUUAAAUUUUUAUUAAUGUAUGUUAAACUCUCUUCCAUGAUAUAUGGGAUCAUUGUAAUUUUUUAUCAAUUAAUUUAGUAAAACUUCAUAAUCUUUAUAUACUGAAGCAUAUAAUCUUUGGUGUUGUUUUAAAAUUUAUAACCACGUUCUAUAUUUGUAUUAAUUUAUGCUAAACUUUCUUUCAGGGUACAUAAGCAUCCUUCAAUUUUUUUGAUAAAUUAAUUUUAGUAAAACUUUAUAUACUCCCUAAAUUAGUGGACUAACCAUUACAAAAUCGUUAUUGUCUAAAGAAAUGGAGAUAACAAAGGUUUCAAACCUCUUUGAUCAACAUCAUAUAUUAGUACAUGAGGAAACUAUGCAUUAAAGCAAUAUUAUAUUUUUGAAUUUUUUAAAGAAAUCUAUGUGUUAAGCCCUACGUAAACAUUGAGUUUUUGGUAAAUGCUUUAUAUAUUGAAGCCUAUAAUAUUUAGUGUUGUUUUUAAAUUUCUAACUACAUUCUAAAUUUGUAUAAAUUUAUGCUAAUCUCUUUCAUGAUACAUGAGUAUCGUUCAAAUUUUUAAAUCAAUUAAUAUAGUAAAACUUCAUAUACUCCCUUAAUCAGUGGACUAACCACUACAAAAUCGCUAUUCUCUAGAGAAACAAAGACAAAAAAGUUCUAAACUUCUUUGGCCAUCAUCGUAUAUUAGUGCAGGAGCAACUAUGCAUUAAAACAAUAUUGUUAUAUUUUUUGAAUUUUUUUUUCAAAAUCUAUAUGUUAACCCCUACGAAUACAUUGAAUUUCUGGUAAAUGCUUCAUAUGCCGAAGCCUAUAGCCUUUACUGUUGUUUUAAAAUUUCUAACCACAUUCUAUAUUUGUAUUAAAUUUAUGCUAAGUUCUUUUUGAUGGCACAUAAGCAUCGUUCAAAAUGUUUAAUCAAUUAAUUUAGUAAAACUUCAUAUACUCCCUAAAUCAGUGAACUAACCACUACAAAAUUGUUAUUCUCUAGGGAGAUGGAGACAAAAAGGUUCCAAACCUCUUCGACCAUCAUCAUAUAUUAGUGCAGCAGACAACUAUGCAUUAAAACAAUAUUUUUAUAUUUUUUUAAUUUUUCUCAAAAUCUAUGUGUUUACCACUACGAAAAUAAUGAGUUUUACGUUAAACGCUCUACAUACUGAAUCUUAUACUUUUUAUUGUUGUGUUAAAUUUUCUAAUGACAUUUUAAAUUUGUAUUAAUGAAUGUUAACUCUCUUCCAUGAUAUAUGGGAUCAUUCUAAUUUUUUAUCAAUUAAUUUAAUAAAACUUCAUAAUACUCUCUAAAUUAGUAAAAUAACCAUUAUAAAAUCGCUAUUAUCUUGGGAGACAAAGGCAAAAAAGAUUUCAAACCACUUUAAACAUCAUCAUAUGUUAGCGUAUGAUGAACUAUCCUUUAAAAAAUAUUGUCAUAUUUUUUGAAUUUUUAUCCAAAUCUAUGUAUCGCUAUGAAUAUAUUGAGUUUUACAUUACACGCUAUAUAUAAUGAAGCUUAUACUUUUUAGUAUUGUUUUAAAAUUUCUAACCACAUUCUUCAUUUGUAUUAAUAUACUUUAAACACUCUUUAUGGUACAUGGGCAUCUAUCUAAUUUUUUAUCAAUUAAUCUUGUAAAACUUUAUAUAAUUCCCAAAUUAGUGGACUAACUAGUAUUAAAUCACUAUUUUUUUCUAAAGAAACAUAGAGACCAAAGAUUUCAAGCCUCUUUGACCAUCAUAAUUUGAUAUUUUAGGAAGAAACUACGCAUUAAAAAGAUAUUGUUAUAUAUAUAUAUAUUUUAAAUCCAUGUAUAAACCCAUACGAAAUAUUUAGUUUUACGUUAAAUGCUCUAUAUACUGAAAUCUAAACUUUUAAGUGUUGUUUUAAAAUUUCUAACCACAUUCUACAUUAGUAUUAAUUUAUGCUAAACUUUAUUUCAGGGUACAUGAGCAUUGUUCAAUUUCUUUUAUAAAUUAAUUUAGUAAAAUUUCAUAUACUCCUUAAAUUUGUGGACUAACCAUUACAAAAUCACUAUUUUCUAGAGAAAUGGAGAUAACAAAGGUUCAAAACUUCUUUGAUCAUCAUCAUAUAUAAGUACAUGAUGCAACUAUGCAUUAACGCAGUAUUGUUAUAUUUUUUGAAUUUUUUGACUUUUUCUCCAAAUCUAUGUGUUAACCCUAACAAAAAUAUUGAGUUUUUGGUAAGUGAUUUAUAUAUUGAAACCUAUAAUCUUUAGUGUUGCUAUAAAAUUUCCAACCACAUUCUCAAUUUUUAUUAAUUUAUGCUAAACUCUCUUUCAUGGUACAUGAGAAUUGUUCAAAUUUUUUAGUCAAUUAAUUUAGUAAAACUUCAUAUACUCCCUAAAUCAGUAGAAUAAUCACUAUAAAAUCGCUAUUUUCUAGAGAAACGGAGACAACAAAGGUUCAAAACCUCUUUGACAAUCAUCAUAUAUUAGUACAGGAGGCAACUAUGCAUUAAAAUAAUAUUGUUAUAUUUUUUGAUUUUUUUUCUCAAAAUCUAUGUGUUUACCCCUACGAAAAUAUUGAGUUUUACGUUAAACGCUCUAUAUACUGAAUCUUAUACUUUUAUUGUUGUGUUAAAUUUUCUAAUGACAUUUUAAAUUUGUAUUAAUGUAUGUUCAACUCUCUUUCAUGAUAUAUGAGAUCAUUCUAAUUUUUUUAUCAAUUAAUUUAGUAAAACUUCAUAAUACUCCAUAAAUCAGUAAAAUAACCAUUGUAAAAUCACUAUUAUCUUGGGAAAGAGAGACAAAAAAAAGAAUCUAAACCUCUUUGAACAUUAUCAUAUGUUAGUGUAGGAUGACUAUCCUUAAAAAAAAUAUUGUCAUAUUUUUUGAAUUUUUGUCCAAAUCUAUGUAUCACUAUGAAUACAUUGAGUUUUUGGUAAAUGCUUUAUAUACUGAAGUCUAUAAUCAUUAGUGUUAUUAUAAAAUUUUUAACCACAUUCUAAAUUUGUAUUAAUUUAUGCUAAACUCUCUUUCAUGGUACAUAAGCAUCGUUCAAAGUUUUUAGUAAAUUAAUUUAGUAAAACUUCAUAUACUCCCUAAAUCAGUGGACUAACCACUAUAAAAUCGCUAUUCUCUAGAAAAAAGGAGACAACAAAGGUCCCAAACCUCUUUGACCAUUAUCAUAUAUUAGUGCAGCAGACAAAUAUGCAUUAAAAAAAUAUUGUUAUAUUUUUUGAAUUUUUCUCAAAAUCUAUGUGUUUACCCCUACGAAAAAUAUUGAGUUUUUCUAAUACUAAAGCUUAUACUUUUUAUUGUUGUGAUAAAUUUUCUAAUGACAUUUUAAAUCUAUAUUAAUGUAUGUUAAACAAUCUUUCAUGAUAUGGGAUUAUUCUAAUUUUUUAUCAAUUAAUUUAGUAAAAUUUCAUAAUACUCCCUAAAUCAGUGGAAUAACCAUUAUAAAAUCGCUAUUAUCUUGGGAUACAGAGACAAAAAAAGGUUUCAAACUUCUUUGACCAUUGUUACUGCAAGAUGCAACUAUGCGUUAAAACAAUAUUGUUAUAUUUGUUUAAAAUUUUCUCAUAAUCUAUCUGUCAACCCCUACAAAAAUAUUGAGUUUUUGGUAAAUGCUUUAUAUACGGAAGCCUAUAAUCUUUAGUGUUGUUUUCAAAUUUCUAACCACAUUCUAAAUUUGUAUUAAUUUAUGCUAAAUUAUCUUUCAUGGCACAUGAGCAUCGUUCAAACUUUUUGAUCAAUUAAUUUAGUAAAACUUCAUAUACUUCCUAAAUCAAUGGACUAACCACUACAAAAUCGCUAUUCUCUAGAGAAACGGAGACAACAAAUGUGUCAAACCUCUUUGAUCAUCAUCAUAUAUUAGUGAAGGAGGCAAAUAUGCAUUAAAAUAAUAUUGUUGUAUUUUUUGAGUUUUUUCUCAAAAUCUAUGUGCUUACUUACCUUUACGAAAAUUUUGAGUUUUACGUUAAACGCUCUAUAAACUGAAGCUUAUACUUUUUACUGUUGUGCUAAAUUUUCUAAUGCAUUUUAAAUUUGUAUUAAUGUAUGUUAAACUCUCUUUCGUGAUAUAUGGGAUCAUUCUAAUUUUUGUAAAACUUCAUAAUACUCUCUAAAUCAGUAAAAUAACCAUUAUAAAAUCGCUAUUAUCUUGGGAAACAGAGACAAAAAAGGUUUCAAACCUCUUUUAACAUCAUCAUAUGUUAGUGUAGGAUGAAGUAUCCUUGAAAAUAAUAUUGUCAUAUUUUUUGAAUUUUUAUCCAAAUCUAUGUAUCGCUAUGAAUAUAUUGAGUUUUACGUUAAACGCUCUAUAUAAUGAAGCUUAUACUUUUUAGUGUUGUUUUAAAAUUUCUGACCACAUUCUACAUUUGUAUUAAUGUAUUUUAAACUCUCUUUCAUGGUACAUGGACAUCUUUCUAAUUUUUUUAUCAAUUAAUCUAGUAAAACUUCAUAUAAUCCCUAAAUAAGUGGAUUAACCAUUAUAAAAUCGCUAUUUUCUAAAGAUAUGUAGAAAACAAAGAUUUCAAGCCUCUUUGACCAUCAUAAUAUGUUAGUUUAGGAUGAAACUAUGUAUUAAAACGAUAUUGCUAUAUUUUUGAUUUUUUUCAAAAUCAAUGUAUAAACCAAUACGAAAUAUUUAGUUUUAUGUUAAACGCUCUAUAUACUGAAAUCAAAAUUUUUAGUGUUGUUUUAAAAUUUAUAACUACAUUCCACAUUUGUAUUAAUGUAUAGUUCUCUUUCAUGGUAUAUGAGAAUCAUUAUAAUUUUUUAAUCAAAUAAUUUAGUAAAACUUCAAAAUAAUCCCUAACUUUUUGAAAUAACCACUAUAAAGUAACCAUUUUCUUCAAAAACAGAGACAACAAAGACUCCAAACCUCUUUGAACAUCAUCAUAUGUUAGUGCAGAAUAUAACUAUGCGUUGAAACAAUACUGUCAUAUUAUUUAGGAAAUUUUCUCAAAAUCUAUAUGUUAAACCUUACGAAAAAUUCUGAGCUUUUGGUAAAUGCUUUACAUACUGAAGCAUAUAAUCUUUAGUGUUGUUUUAAAAUUGUAGCCACAUUCUACAUUUGUAUUAAUGUAUGCUAAACUUUCUUUCAAAGUACAUGAGCAUCGUUCAAUUUUUUUAAUAAAUUAAUUUAAUAAAACUUCAUAUUCUCCGUAAAUUAGUGGACUAACCAUUAAAAAAUUGCUAUUGUCUAGAGAAAUGGAGAUAAAAAAGGUUCCAAACCUUUUUGAUCAUCAUCAUAUAUUAGUACAUUAGGCAACUAUGCAUUAAAGUAAUAUUGUUAUAUUUUGAUUUUUUUUUUUUAAAUCUAUGUGUUAACCCUUAAGAAAACGUUGAGUUUUUGGUAAAUGUUUUAUAUACUGAAGCCUAUAAUCCUUAGUAUUGUUUUAAAAUUUCUAACCACAUUCUAAAUUUGUAUUAAUUUAUGCUAAACUCUCUUUCAUGGUACAUGAGUAUCGUUCAAAUUUUUUAAUCAAUUAAUUUAUUUAAACUUCAUAUACUCCAUAAAUCAGUGGACUAACCACUGUAAAAUCGCUAUUCUCCAGAGAAACAUAGACAAAAAGGUUUCAAACCUCUUUGACCAUCAUCGUAUAUUAAUACAGGAGGCAACUAUACAUUAAACAAUAUUGUUAUAUUUUUUGAUUUUUUUUUGAAAAUCUAUGUGUUAACCCCUACGAAUACAUUGAAUUUUUGGUAAAUGCUUCAUAUGCAAAGCCUAUAAUCUUUAGUGUAGUUUUAAAAUUUAAAGCCACAUUCUAUAUUUGUAUUAAUUUAUUCUAAGUUCUCUUUGAUGAUACAUGAGCAUCGUUGAAAAUGUUUAAUCAAUUAUUUUAGUAGAACUUCAUAUACUCCCUAAAUUAGUGAACUAAUCACUACAAAAUCGCUAUUCUCUAGAGAGACGGAGAUAACAAAGGUUCCAAACCUCUUUGACCAUCAUCAUAUAUUAGUGCAGCAGACAACUACUCAUUAAAACAAUAUUGUUAUAUUUUUUGAAUUUUUCUCAAAAAUCUAUAUGUUUACCCUUACAAAAAUAUUGAGUUUUACGUUAAACGCUCUAUAUACUGAAGCUUAUACUUUUUAUUGUUGUGUUAAAUUUUUUAAUGACAUUUUAAAUUUGUAUUAAUGUAUCUUAAACUCUCUUUCAUGAUAUAUGGGAUCAUUCUAAGUUUUUAUAAAUUAAUUUAGUAAAACGUCAUAAUACUCCCUAAAUCAGUAAAAUAACCAUUAUAAAAUCGCUAUUAUCUUGGGAAACAGAGACAAAAAAAGUUACAAAUCUCUUUGAACAUCAUCAGCUGUUAGUGUAGGCUGAACUAUCCAUAAUAAAAAUAUUGUCAUAUUGUUUUAAAUUUUUAUCCAAAUCUAUGUAUUGCUAUGAAUAUAUUGAGUUUUAUGUUAAACGCUCUAUAUAAUGAAGCUUAUCCUUUUUAGUGUUGUUUUAAAAUUUCUAACCACAUUCUAAAUUUUUAUUAAUGUACUUUAAACACUCUUUAUGGUACAUGGGCGUCUUUCUAAUUUUAUAUCAAUUAAUUUAGUAAAAGUUUAUAUAAUCCCUAAAUUAGUAGACUAACCAGUAUAAAAUCUUAAUUUUCUAAAAAAAACAUAAAUAACAAAGAUUUCAAGCCUCUUUGACCAUCAUAAUAUGUUAGUUUAGGAUGAAACUAUGCAUUAAAACGAUAUUGUUAUAUUUUUGAUUUUUUUUAAAAUCCAUGUAUAAACCCAUACGAAAUAUUUAGUUUUACGUUAAACGUUGUAUAUACUGAAAUCUAUACUUUUUAGUGUUGCUUUAAAAUUUCUAACUACAUUCUCCAUUUGUAUUAACGUAUGUUUAGCUCUAUUUCAUGGUAUAUUGGAAUCAUUAUAAUUUUUUAAUCAAAUAAUUUAGUUAAACUUUGAAAUACUCCCAAAAUUAGUGGAAUAACCAUUAUAAAGUCACUAUUUUCUUCAAAAACGGAGACAACAAAGGCUACAAACCUCUUUGAACAUCACAUAUGUUAGUACAGAAUGCAGCUAUGCAUAAAAAAAAUAUUGUCGUAUAUUUUGAAAUUUUCUCAAAAUAUAUGUAUCAACAACCCCAACGAAAAUAUUGAGUUUUUGGUAAAUGCUUUAUAUACUAAAACAUAAAUGUGUUGUUUUAAAAUUUAUAACCACAUUCUACAUUUGUAUUAAUGUAUGCUAAACUUUCUUUCAGAGUACAAGAGCAUCGUUCAAUUCUUUUAUAAAUUAAUUUAGUAAAACUUCAUAUACUCCCUAAAUUAGUGGACUAACCAUUACAAAAUUGCUAUUAUCUAGAGAAAUGGAGAUAACAAAAGUUUCAAACUUCUUUGAUCAUCAUCAUAUAUUAAUAUAUGAGGCAACUAUGCAUUAAAAAAAUAUUGUUAUAUUUUUGAUUUUUUUAAAAAAUCUAUGUGUUAACCCCUACGAAUAUAUUGAAUUUUUUGUAAAUGCAUCAUACGCCGAAGCCUAUAAUAUUUAGUGUUGUUUUAAAAUUUAUAACCACAUUUAAUAUUUGUAUUAAUUUAUGCUAAGUUCUCUUUGAUGGUACAUGAGCAUCGUUCAAAAUGUUUAAUCAGUUAGUUUAGUAGAACUUCAUAUACUCUCUAAAUCAGUGAACUAACCACUACAAAAUCGCUAUUCUCUAGAGAGACAGAAAUAACAAAUGUUUCAAACCUCUUUGACCAUCAUCAUAUAUUAGUGCAGUAGACAACUAUGCAUUAAAACAAUAUUUCUAUAUUUUUUGAAUUUUUUUCAAAAUCUAUGUGUUUAUCCUUACGAAAAUAUUGAGUUUUAUGUUAAACGCUCUAUAUACUGAAACUUAUACUUUUUAUUGUUGUGUUAUUUUAAUUAUUUUUAUUAUAUUUCGUAUCUGAAGGGUUUUAUUACUUUAUUGCUUAUGUUUCGUCGUAUCUUUACUUCAUAAAUGAUUGUAUAUUAUUUUUUGCUUACUCUUAUAACUCUUAUCGUCUCUCUUACACUACCUAUAGGAAAAUAUACUAAAAUAUAAACAAGUUUAGAAAAAAAUAGGAUUAAUUUCUAUACUUUUAUUUUACAAUAUUUACCAUUGUUUCUAUGCAAUGUACCUUUAUAAUAUAUAUUAAUUCAAAUUAAUAAUCUCUUUAAAUCUACUCAUUCCGCACAGGGCGCGGAUUAUCACCUAGUAUGUUAGUACAUGAGGCCACUAUGCAUUAAAACAAUAUUGUUAUAUUUUUAAAUUUUUCUCAAAAUCUAUGUGUUAACCCAUACGAGAACAUUGAGUUUUUGGUAAGUACUUUAUAUACUGAAGCCAAUAAUCUUUAGUGUUGCUAUAAAUUUUCUAUCCACAUUCUAAAUUUUUAUUAAUUUAUGCUAAACUCUCUUUCAUGGUACAUGAGCAUCGUUCAAAUUUUUUAGUCAAUUAAUUUAGUAAAACUUCAUAUACUUCCUAAAUCAGUGGAAUAACCACUAUAAAAUCACUAUUUUCUAGAGAAACAGAGACAACAAAGGUUUAAAACAUCUUUGACAAUCAUCAUAUAUUAGUGCAGGAGGCAACUAUGCAUUAAAACAAUAUUGUUAUAUUUUUUAAAUUUUUCUCAAAAUUUAUGUGUUUACCCCUACGAAAAUAUUUAGUUUUACAUUAAACGCUCUAUAUACUGAAGCUUAUACUUUUUAUUGUUGUGUUAAAUUUUCUAAUGACAUUUUUAAUUUGUAUUAAUGUAUGUUAAACUCUCUUCAUGAUAUAUGAGAUCAUUCUAUUUUUUUAUCAAUUAAUUUAGUAAAACUUCAUAAUACUCCAUAAAUCAAUAAAAUAACCAUUGUAAAAUCACUAUUAUCUUGGGAAAGAGAGACAAACAAAUUGUUCAAAACCUCUUUGAACAUCAUCAUAUGUUAGUGUAGGAUGAACUAUCCAUAAAAAAAUAUUGUCAUAUUUUUUGAAUUUUUGUCCAAAUCUAUGUAUCACUAUGAAUAUAUUGAGUGUUACGUUAAACGCUCUAUAUAAUGAAGCUUAUACUUUUUAGUGUUGUUUUGAAAUUUCUAACCACAUUCUACAUUUGUAUUAAUGUAUUUUACACUAUUUUUCAUGGUACAUAAACAUCUUCCUAAGUUUUUUUAUCAAUUAAUCUUGUAAAACUUCAUAUAAUCCCUAAAUUAGUAGACUAACCAUUAUAAAAUCGCUAUUUCUAAAAAAACAUAGACAACAAAGAUUUCAAGCCUCUUUGACCAUCAUCUACUUUAUUAAAACAGAAGUACACUUAGAGAAUAACCCUAAAAAUUCAACAAUAUUUACAGUCAAAUGCCAUUGAGAAUUAAAUUAGUCUUACCUUAAAAAUGAUUGUUUUUUUCCACAUAUUCAUUGUUUUCUUAAAAUAACUGAGACAAACUACAAAAAAAGAAAACAUAUUAUUAAUAACUCAAACAACUACAUAUUAUUAAUUCUCCUGAAAUAUCGCCACCGUAACAUCAUUUAGUUAAAUAAAUAACCAAAAAUCGAAAAUUUAUAUCCGCGCUGGCGUGCAGGUCAAGGUCUAGUAAUAUGUUAGUUUAGGAGAUUGGUAGAGACCUCCUGGUGAUGCAACUAGGCUAGAUGGUCGGAACAGGAGAGGAGAUUAAUGUCUGGGAUGACCCAUGGCUCUCACACUGUGAACAGUUCAGACCAAUGGGCCCGGCCCCAGAGGCUCUUCAAUCGCUAAAGGUCUCGGACCUGCUCCUGCCAGAGACAAAGGAAUGGGACUUAGCAAAAAUCAAGCUUACUCUACCUUUCCAUAAGGACCAAAUCCCAGGGAUUCAACCUAGCAGGAUGAAAGCAGCAGAUGAACUCAUAUCGCUGAAAAAUACUACGGGAGAGUAUUCAACUAGAUCAGGUUACCUGAUUCAAUUGGAAGCUCGCACCGCUGAAGCUCCCACAAAUCAAGUUGCUGCUCCUGACUGGCUAGCGAAUGUCUGGAAUGUAAAAACAAUGGAGAAAGUCAAAGUCUUUAUUUGGAGAUGCCUACACGAUGCUCUACAACAAUCCUAGUAGUUUCCCACUGAUUACUCUGAAUUGUUCACUCUUUAAUGCACAGCGCCAGCUUUCCAGAAAAGAAAAGAGAUGAACCUUUUUCCAAUACUUCUUUUGAAGCCUCUCAACGCACCAAGCUAGUGAGUACGAUCAUCCUUCUUUUUUCCAAACAAUGUAAAAGAUAUGUGAUAAAAAAAAGUGGGGAUAUUAGUUUGACAUGAUUCUUUGGAUUUAUCUUUCUGUUUCUUUGCCUUUACACAAAUGUUUAUGAAUUUUUGUCUAACUUGGUUUAGGACAUGGGUCGUUCAAAUGAAUCAAGCAGAGGAGCGAAGCAUAAUCACUAUCAUUCAAACACUGAAACUUCUCUGAAGCAUGAGGUAAGGUGUACGUUUUUUUAUUCUUUUUUACUAGGUUUUCACGUUCUUGUUUCGUGGAUUAGGGCUCAAUCACCUUGUUCACAGGUUGAUCAGCUGGAGACAAGAUUAGAAGAUCAGUUUAAGGUUCGCUGUGCAUUAUAGAGAAGGCGCUAGGUUAUGGAACAGCUUCUUCUUACAUGCUGACUGAAACAAACGACAUUCCCAUGCCCAUGGUCUGUCACUUUCAUUUUCCAAAACUGUACAGAAACGAGUUCCGUGGAACUAAAGAAACCUUACUGUUUUUACUUUCUUGUUCAGCAAGCUACUGACUUGAUCAAAGAAAUUGCGCUUCUUGAGAUGGAAGUUGUACAUUUGGAGCACUAUCUUCUUUCAUUAUAUCGAAAAGCCUUUGACCAACAAAUAACCCCAAAUUCAGAGAGCAAGAAGCCGAAGUCUCCUUCUGUACUUACAACCCCUACAAGGCGUCUAGAUUUUUGUGAAGAACCUUGUACAACAGAUCCUCUUCUUGAUGAUGGCAGAGACAGAGUGGACCCUGUUUUCACCGUAGCCACUCCCAGCGUUCAACAUUUGAGAGUAUAAAAGCUUCUCCAGAAGAUUCUUGGAGUAAAGCUAUCCGCUCAUGCCACUCCCAACCGAUGCACGUGCACAAUGGAGAGAAUCUAAUCAGUCUAGCUGAACAUCUUGGCACGCGAAUCUCAGAUCAUAUUAAUUCCAGAGACACCAAACAAGUUGUCUGAAGGAAUGGUCAAGUGUAAAUCACAGACUUUCAUCAUCUCCAAACUCGUCCUUAUCAUCGAGUGCAUUUUCUCCCUCUGACCAGUACGAUACAUCGAGCCCUGGAUUGGGAAACAGCUCCUCUUUGGAUAACUCAUUCCAUGUAGAAGGAGAGAAGGACUUCAGUGGACAAUGCAGCAACAUAGUUGAAGUGCUUUGCAUUCACAGAGACUCCAAAAAGGCCAAUGAGCUAGGUCGCAGAUCUUCUGCAUUACUUUAAGUGAGUCGCUUUGAGAUUAACAUGAUGAAUGAUGAGGGUAGAAGGUGAAUUAGGGGAUCUUGAAAUGUUUAAAAUACUUGCAGGACACUUAUCAGUAGAUUGGAGGAAGUGGAUCCAAGUAAGUUGAAACAUGAGGAGAAGCUGGCCUUCUGGAUAAAUGUGCACAAUGCACUUGGUGAUGCAUGUAAACUUUCUUUCUUUGAACCAAUCAAUCUCGGGUUUUUUCCGGCGCUUAGCAAUUUAUAUCAACGUCUUAUAGGCUUAUUUAGCUUAUGGGACUCCACAGAACACUGUGAAGAGAUUGCUAUUGCUACUCAACGUAACCAACAUCUCUUUGCAUGAACCAUCCUUUCGUAUUAUAUGUCUUGAAAUUUUCUUGUAUUUCUCCCAGGCGGCAUAUAACUUUGGUGGGACACACAAUUAGCGCGGAAGCAACACAGAGCUCAAUUCUUGGAUGCAAAAUGUCUCAUCCUGGUCAGGUAACUUUGAGAAUAAAUUAUGAAACGUUGGCUUCAAAGAGCACAAAGCUUACUUGAGUAAAAAAGACUGUUUUAUGUUUUCAUAUUUUUCUCUUAAUAACUGCUAUUUGCUUCAAAGAAGUUCAAAGCAGGAGGAGAUGAAAGAUUAGCAGCUUACGCAAUCAACCAUCUUCUACAUUUUUCACUUACCUCCGGCACCCACUCCGAUCCCCCGGUAUUCCCCUUAAUCUUUAAGAGAAUCAUUGAAACCCUUUUGAAUAAUUGCCCAAAAAAAGCGCUGAAGUAUGUGCUUCUUGGAUUGUUGUUUUGUUUAAAAUAGGUUCGUGUAUAUACACCAAAAAGAAUCAAGCAAGAGCUAGAAACGUCGAAUGAACUUAACCGAAGCAUACCGGAAUCUUCAAUACAAUGUCUUAAGGGAUGUCGUAGUAAAUCACGCAAGGCCAUUGAUUGGAACCCUCCCAGCUUUACAUUCAGAUAUCUUAUUCUUAGAGAAGCUGCCAAAUGAAAUUUAUUCGUAUUAAUUAAUUUUGAUGGUAUGUAAACGCCAGCUUGUUCGAUCAUGCCGGUUAAUUAUUAGAGAGAUUCAUAAACUUGUUAGACGUCGAACAUUUAUGUACGUGUUAGAUGAUUAACUUGCCUUCGGAAAAAUUGCAUUAGAUUCAAGAUUGGAAUCACAUCACUAUAAUAUAUAUAUCAUCCUCCUCCUCGUGUCCAUUUCUCAAAUUCUAAGCAACCAAAUAUAGAAAAAAAAAUCCAAAAGUAAUGGAUCAUUUUGUUUUUCUCCAUUAGAAAAAAGUCAAACGUCUCUAACUACAGUUUCUACGUCGGUCGAUUUAUUUUUAUGGUUUGCUCCACUAAGUUGACCCUACUCGGCGAUGCUGCUCAAAUUCGCCGUAAAUCUCCUCUUCCCUUUGCCACAGCCUCUUCCACCACCGCCAUUUGUCUUCGCUCGGGCGAUUUUUUUGGAUUGGUAAUUUAUUUCCCAAAUGGAGUCAGCGCAACUGACUCCGCCGCUCUUGGUCAACGCGGAGCUUGCUUUAACAGCCAGCGUCGCCAUUUCCUCCGCCCUUAGGGGAUGACUGAGCCACGUCAGCGGUAAAACGAAGUAAAGUUGCCCCAAUCGGAGCUCUUCGUUGCCAGAGACUGCUGAAACUGUAUCGUCGAAGUCCAUUUCGUCUGAGUUACAUACGAAACUCGUCGGGUAUUUCUGCAAGAUCUGCCAAACUUUGACCGGAUACGAGAACUCUUCUAAUGUCCCGUCCAGCAAUAUUAGCUUCGCCGAAUCUCCCCUCAUACAUUCACGUGAAACGCAUGCACCCAUUUUUCUUUGUUUAUAUCUCUCGUGAGUUUGAUGUUUGUGUAUGUAGAGUAUACGUACCAAGUUGUUGUUGUUUGUGAUUUGUGAAUUGAAAGAUCAGACGACCUUGUGACGAGUUUAUAUAUAAGAACAAUCGAGGAAGAAGAAAAUAGCCUCAAGAAUCUAAAGUACACGUCUGACUUGUCGUGUAAUAAUAACAAGGGAACAUGACAGCUCAAGGUUUGGUUAUUAUUUCCCGAAUUAUUUAAACAGACCAUCACGCUAAGGGUAGUUCGGGAAAGUAGGAGAAAUCAACGUGGCGAAGAUUGAGAGAGGAAGGAACUUAGGUGGUGAACUGAAGGAUCGGCGGGAGACAGAGGCAUGGCCGGCUAGCAGACAAGAUUGAGUUGGCCUUGGAGGUUUCGCGUCGCCGGUGGGUUAGAUCUCACGUUAAGACAAUAGGGACCAGUGGACCAGCAUGAUAGAGUUGGCCCCAGAUUCUUUUGGCCCUUUUAGUAGAUACAAGAGUCACCUACCGUACGUGAUAUUGUUUUCUUUUUUCUAAGAAUUAAUAGUUCAAAAAUUGAUCUUUUUUUAUUACUACUUUAUUUUUUGCAUGAGUGCAUUAAUGAGCACGUAUAAAUUAUCGAGUGUCUCAAUAAUGCUUUUCUUACUUCGGACAUAUUGCUUUCUGUUUAUAUAUUUAUGAACGUUCAAUAUUUAUUUAUAAAUCGAUCUGCAUGCCAUCAAAAGUAACCAAUUCCUUGGCUAUAUUUGGUAGUUUUGGACCAAAAGGUAACUAAAUAGAUAUUUGCCCUACCGCUCGAUCGAUACUUUCUGAACAGAAAAAUAGCUCAACCUUACUAUAUACACAAACAAAUAUAUAUUCCGUAUGGUUUGUGUGAGACUGAAAUCACCCACGUCUCCACCGAUACAAUACUAGCGGAUGGCAAUCUUUGUUUAAUAAAGUUGAUACUCUGGCGCUGAUACAUCAUUGUUUCCACGUACGUACAGUAGUAGAACUUGUCUCGAUAGACAUUUUAUUGAAUAAUAAAACAAUUGCUCGUCAGAUCUUAGUGGAUAUUGAUCUCCCACGCGGUGACAUCCAUAUAUAAGACCUACAAUAGUUAUUACAUGAUGUGAAAUUGGACAAUAGUACAAAAUUGCUUUCAAAAUUCCUUUCUAAAGCACGAGGCCAUGUUUUUGUCCCGAUUUUGAAAUGAUCUUUAUUUGGUAAUUUUUAAAAACAUUUUUACUGUUGCAUAAUAUAUAUUUAAUACUUUUCGUUAAUUGAUCUAUAAUCCGUAAGAUGGAAUUUAACAUGCUUCAGAGCAUGUGAUAGAUUGUACUAACACACACGCUUGUAGAAUCUACUGUAAGAAUAUCUUUGAAUUUGUGAUGAGUGUAUGCAAGAUCUGUAGUGUACGUUUCUGUAUGAAUCCGAUAUCUCUAGAUAUAAAAUAGAAUUGUCCCCGAGAAGUUUACAUAAUUUCAUUAUUCAUAUAUAUAUAUAUAUAUAUAUAUACUAGUUCUAGAGGUUUAAAACUUAAGAGAGAAUCUCUCUGAAAUCUGCAUUGUUAUGUGCUGUCCCACGCCAAUGAAGUUGUCUGUGUUCUUUCAUGUUUCGAGAUUUAAGACCAAGCACAGACCAAUAAUGUUUUAUUUAUAAGUUAAACACUGUUUUGUUUAAUGUUCACACCCAUGCACAUUAAAUACAGGGUAAGUAAGGUCCAUAAGGAGCAAGCUGAUUAGACUACAUUAUUUAUACGAAUUUAUAAAACCUAAUUUCCACUUGUUAUUCGCCAGUAUAUUAAACUAAUUUCAUAUAAAUAUAUCAAAAGGCAAACCAACUAAUUCAUUGAUUAUCAAAAUGGUUCGACUGUAAACUUAUAAAUUAUAAAACAAUAAUAAUUUUAUUUUGAAGUGAUUUUUCGUGUUAGUAAACCGUAAUUAAAAUUACCACUCUAUUUAAAAAGCAUAAAUAAUAUUCUAUUUGUUUCAAAAAGAUGUAUGUUUUGAAGAUUUUUCAAAACAUUUUAAAUAUUGAUUAUAAAUGUAUUACUUAUGAUUAAUUAGUUUCCACAAUUUUUUAGCAAAUCAAAAUUUAAUAAACACCGAUAAUUUUUCUCAAAAUUUACAAUUACCAUUAUUAGUUAGUAAAUAUACACUGAAAUUCAAAACAAGUUUUUUGUAGAAUAUAUAUAAUUUUGAAAAGGAGGGAAUAAUUCACAGUAACCUGGUUAGAGAUUACAUAACUCAUCAUAACUUACCAUUAUUAGACCAUAUGAUUAAAGUUAAAUAGAGGACUAUAUAUGGAUACAAAAAAAACUUAAGAUUUAGGGCAUGUGCAUUUUUUUAUAAUAGAAGAAGAAGAAACAUCAAAAGAUGUACUCAUUGUAAUCAAAUACAAAGAGAAGAUGUUUAGAUAUGAUAACAUGAUCACUCAAGUUGACCAUACCACACCCCUUGGAUCUUCACAUCCUUAGGUACCUUGGCACCCAAGUCAGUAUCCGACGGCUGAAGACUUUCGAACACUCCGAUCACUUCUCCUGUCUCGGGUUUGCUCUUGGUCACUUUCAAAGUGAUCUCUCCCACCGAAGCUGCCGUGUUCUUCACGUUCUCUUUUGAAAGCUCCUCUUCGUCACCUCUGCCUCCAGCUGGCAAUGCAACGGCGUUGUCAUAUCCUGUGGAACCACCACGGCCCUUAGGGUCCAAGAAGGAGGAGCCACGGUAUGAAGGGACUAAGAAUUUGCCAGAGAAGUUGUCUGGUUUGCCAGAGGCGUCAAGCUGCUUGACGGUGAAGAGGAAUGGCACACGCUCGCCUCCUGGAAGCUGGACAGUGACAGCAGCGUAGUCGAUGCCGUCUUCUUCCUUGAAGUUAACGCUUCCGUCAGAAGAAACCUGCUCGAGAACCGAUUAUAAAAAGAAUCACAAACCCUAUUCGUAACCAAUAAAACAGACAGUUUCUUGCGGUGGAAGCAAAAAGAAAAAAAAGAAAAAGACUGCUCCUCUCGCUCCCGCUGCUGCACCCGCUCCUGCUCCUCCGAGAGUGAUGAGUGUUGCGGAGUUAGUUCGACAUCCCGGUCACUUGCUAACACUCUCAGCCUUGACGGUGAAGGAAGUAGGCUCGAAGCAGAACUUCUUGCCAGCGUACUUUCCGGGUUUGAAGGAGAAAGUCUCGGAGCCACCGUCAAUAGUUGGGCACUGGUUGGCCGUUCCAGUUCCCUUAACUUCCAUGUAAGUCUUGCUCUGAAUCUCGUCGUAAGUCAGUCUCUUCGGAGCUCCCUCUGCACUUGCUCCCUUUCAUUACACCACAAACACAUAACAAUUUCAACUUAAUUGUGAUCCCAAUAAGCUUUCCAAUUCGUAAAAUCGUAUCAUGUACCAAUUUGGUACUAAUGAUACACGAAGAUUGUGAAUAUAACGCAUUCUAAUAUUCUGUUGUGAUAAUCUUAAAAUGCUAUUGGUUUAGUGUACUACUUUCAAGGUGGCAAGUUCGAUGCAUUGUUAGAAACUGUUAUUAACAGUUCGUAAUAAACUUAUAUGGAAGAACCGGUGAUAGGAGGAAGUUACCGAGACGACGAGAGCAGAGGUUGCGAGAGCGAAUCCAGCGAUUUUGACAGCGUCGGAGCAUUUACCGGCCAAGUCCUUGAAGUCAGAUUGGAAGGAACAUGUGAGGCGAGCAGAGGAUGUUUCUAGUCCGAAAGAUUUCCCGACUGUCUGAGUCGACCGGAGGUGAGCACUGCCGCGUGAAGGAGCGGUGGAGAUUUUAGCGGCCUGAAGGAACGUAGAGGCGGAUUGGAGAGAGGCAGCCAUGGCCACAAAGUCUCUCAAAAAAAUGUUUAAUGGUUGUCCUGAUCCGAAGCAGAGGAAAGACCUAAAACAGUAGUAACAUUCGUUAGGAGAGAGAGAGAGAUAAGAUUUGGGAUAAGGCGAGAAUUUUCAUUGGUUUGUUUUGUGGGAAUCGGAGUUACUGGUUUCUUCUCUUGCCACGUGUCCGAAUGCUAAGUGGUGAUAUGGAUACGGUCUCACUCACUGAUGCUGACAUAUACAAUUGUUGCAUUAAUUAAUUAAAAAAAAACUCAAAUGGCCCAUGCAGGUUUCGAACCUGCGACCUUCGCGUUAUUAGCACAACGCUCUAACCAACUGAGCCAAUGGUUCUUCGAUGCUUACAAAAAUUGUUAAUUACAUCUUCCUUGAGAAAAGCAAUCCAAGGAAGCAACGGUUUGCUACGUUCGGGUGUUUAAUCUACGACCGCUGUAAGGGACUGAAGCUUGGAAGCCCUUGAGCAGCUUAAGUUGACUGAACCACCGGUUUUCCUAGCGCCAAGUUCGAUAUCAGAGGUGGCUCGUGUUGCAUCAUCUCUUCAUCAAGUUGAAGCAGCACAGCUCUAAAUCUCCUAAUUUUGACGAGCUAUUGGUUGAGCAGCAUAAUCUGCAGUCUCUUUGCGUCAGGAAGUAAAGCGUUUUGCUAAUACCCCCUGAAGAGAUUGGAUAAAAACAACAGUUAUUGUUCAUGUCAGAAAUAAUUUUUUUUUUUUUUUUUCUUAACCUAGUAUAUUUAAUACUUUUCGUUAAUUGACUAUAAUCCGUAAGAUGGAAUUUAACAUGCUUCAGAGCAUGUGAUAGAUUGUACUAACACACACGCUUGUAGAAUCUACUGUAAGAAUAUCUUUGAAUUUGUGAUGAGUGUAUGCAAGAUCUGUAGUGUACGUUUCUGUAUGAAUCCGAUAUCUCUAGAUAUAAAAUAGAAUUGUCCCCGAGAAGUUUACAUAAUUUCAUUAUUCAUAUAUAUAUAUAUAUAUAUACUAGUUCUAGAGGUUUAAAACUUAAGAGAGAAUCUCUCUGAAAUCUGCAUUGUUAUGUGCUGUCCCACGCCAAUGAAGUUGUCUGUGUUCUUUCAUGUUUCGAGAUUUAAGACCAAGCACAGACCAAUAAUGUUUUAUUUAUAAGUUAAACACUGUUUUGUUUAAUGUUCACACCCAUGCACAUUAAAUACAGGGUAAGUAAGGUCCAUAAGGAGCAAGCUGAUUAGACUACAUUAUUUAUACGAAUUUAUAAAACCUAAUUUCCACUUGUUAUUCGCCAGUAUAUUAAACUAAUUUCAUAUAAAUAUAUCAAAAGGCAAACCAACUAAUUCAUUGAUUAUCAAAAUGGUUCGACUGCAAACUUAUAAAUUUAAAAAUUAUAAAAUAAUAAUAAUUUUGCUUUGAAGUUAUUUUCUUGUUCGUCUUGGAAACAAGCUGUAAAUAAAAUUACCACUGUAUUUAAGAAGCAUAAAUAAUAUUCUAUUUGUUUCAAAAAAAUGUAUGUUUUGAAUAUUUUUCAAAACAUUUUAAAUAUUGAUUAUAAAUGUAUUAUUUAUGAUUAAUUAGUUUCCACAAUUUUUUAGCAAAUCAAAAUUUAAUAAACACCGAUAAUUUUUCUCAAAAUUUACAAUUACCAUUAUUAGUUAGUAAAUAUACACUGAAAUUCAAAACAAGUUUUUUGUAGAAUAUAUAUAAUUUUGAAAAGGAGGGAAUAAUUCACAGUAACCUGGUUAGAGAUUACAUAACUCAUCAUAACUUACCAUUAUUAGACCAUAUGAUUAAAGUUAAAUAGAGGACUAUAUAUGGAUACAAAAAAAACUUAAGAUUUAGGGCAUGUGCAUUUUUUUAUAAUAGAAGAAGAAGAAACAUCAAAAGAUGUACUCAUUGUAAUCAAAUACAAAGAGAAGAUGUUUAGAUAUGAUAACAUGAUCACUCAAGUUGACCAUACCACACCCCUUGGAUCUUCACAUCCUUUGGUACCUUGGCACCCAAGUCAGUAUCCGACGGCUGAAGACUUUCGAACACUCCGAUCACUUCUCCUGUCUCGGAUUUGCUCUUUGUCACUUUCAAAGUGAUCUCUCCCACCGAAGCUGCCGUGUUCUUCACGUUCUCCUUAGAAAGCUCCUCUUCGUCGCCUCUGCCUCCAGCUGGCAAUGCAACGGCGUUGUCAUAUCCUGUGGAACCACCACGGCCCUUAGGGUCCAAGAAGGAGGAGCCACGGUAUGAAGGGACUAAGAAUUUGCCAGAGAAGUUGUCUGGUUUGCCAGAGGCGUCAAGCUGCUUGACGGUGAAGAGGAAUGGCACACGCUCGCCUCCUGGAAGCUGGACAGUGACAGCAGCGUAGUCGAUGCCGUCUUCUUCCUUGAAGUUAACGCUUCCGUCAGAAGAAACCUGCUCGAGAACCGAUUAUAAAAAGAAUCACAAACCCUAUUCGUAACCAAUAAAACAGACAGUUUCUUGCGGUGGAAGCAAAAAGAAAAAAAAGAAAAAGAAAAACCUCGAAGGGGCCUUCGAUCUCGUCAAGAGUGUAGGUGAGACGGGUCAUGAGCUUGGUGUUCUGGAAAUCAGGAGGCGCAUUCUUGCUAACACUCUCAGCCUUGACGGUGAAGGAAGUAGGCUCGAAGCAGAACUUCUUGCCAGCGUACUUUCCGGGUUUGAAGGAGAAAGUCUCGGAGCCACCGUCAAUAGUUGGGCACUGGUUGGCCGUUCCAGUUCCCUUAACUUCCAUGUAAGUCUUGCUCUGAAUCUCGUCGUAAGUCAGUCUCUUCGGAGCUCCCUCUGCACUUGCUCCCUUUCAUUACACCACAAACACAUAACAAUUUCAACUUAAUUGUGAUCCCAAUAAGCUUUCCAAUUCGUAAAAUCGUAUCAUGUACCAAUUUGGUACUAAUGAUACACGAAGAUUGUGAAUAUAACGCAUUCUAAUAUUCUGUUGUGAUAAUCUUAAAAUGCUAUUGGUUUAGUGUACUACUUUCAAGGUGGCAAGUUCGAUGCAUUGUUAGAAACUGUUAUUAACAGUUCGUAAUAAACUUAUAUGGAAGAACCGGUGAUAGGAGGAAGUUACCGAGACGACGAGAGCAGAGGUUGCGAGAGCGAAUCCAGCGAUUUUGACAGCGUCGGAACAUUUACCGGCGAAGUCCUUGAAGUCAGAUUGGAAGGAACAUGUGAGGCGAGCAGAGGAUGUUUCUAGUCCGAAAGAUUUCCCGACUGUCUGAGUCGACCGGAGGUGAGCACUGCCGCGUGAAGGAGCGGUGGAGAUUUUAGCGGCCUGAAGGAACGUAGAGGCGGAUUGGAGAGAGGCAGCCAUGGCCACAAAGUCUCUCAAAAAAAUGUUUAAUGGUUGUCCUGAUCCGAAGCAGAGGAAAGACCUAAAACAGUAGUAACAUUCGUUAGGAGAGAGAGAGAGAU
rnacentral:lncRNA from 1 species